rnacentral:rRNA from 1 species
AGAGUUUGAUCAUGGCUCAGAUUGAACGCUGGCGGCAGGCUUAACACAUGCAAGUCGAGCGGUAACAGGAGAAGCUUGCUUCUCGCUGACGAGCGGCGGACGGGUGAGUAAUACUUAGGAAUCUACCUAGUAGUGGGGGAUAGCUCGGGGAAACUCGAAUUAAUACCGCAUACGACCUACGGGAGAAAGGGGGCAACUUGUUGCUCUCGCUAUUAGAUGAGCCUAAGUCGGAUUAGCUAGAUGGUGGGGUAAAGGCCUACCAUGGCGACGAUCUGUAGCUGGUCUGAGAGGAUGAUCAGCCACACCGGGACUGAGACACGGCCCGGACUCCUACGGGAGGCAGCAGUGGGGAAUAUUGGACAAUGGGGGCAACCCUGAUCCAGCCAUGCCGCGUGUGUGAAGAAGGCCUUUUGGUUGUAAAGCACUUUAAGCAGUGAAGAAGACUCCAUGGUUAAUACCCAUGGACGAUGACAUUAGCUGCAGAAUAAGCACCGGCUAACUCUGUGCCAGCAGCCGCGGUAAUACAGAGGGUGCGAGCGUUAAUCGGAUUUACUGGGCGUAAAGCGUGCGUAGGCGGCUUUUUAAGUCGGAUGUGAAAUCCCUGAGCUUAACUUAGGAAUUGCAUUCGAUACUGGGAAGCUAGAGUAUGGGAGAGGAUGGUAGAAUUCCAGGUGUAGCGGUGAAAUGCGUAGAGAUCUGGAAGAAUACCGAUGGCGAAGGCAGCCAUCUGGCCUAAUACUGACACUGAGGUGCGAAAGCAUGGGGAGCAAACAGGAUUAGAUACCCUGGUAGUCCAUGCCGUAAACGAUGUCUACUAGCCGUUGGGGCCUUUGAGGCUUUAGUGGCGCAGCUAACGCGAUAAGUAGACCGCCUGGGGAGUACGGUCGCAAGACUAAAACUCAAAUGAAUUGACGGGGGCCCGCACAAGCGGUGGAGCAUGUGGUUUAAUUCGAUGCAACGCGAAGAACCUUACCUGGUCUUGACAUAGUAAGAACUUUCCAGAGAUGGAUUGGUGCCUUCGGGAACUUACAUACAGGUGCUGCAUGGCUGUCGUCAGCUCGUGUCGUGAGAUGUUGGGUUAAGUCCCGCAACGAGCGCAAC